GCGUACGUGGUGUAGUGGUCAGCACGCUCGACGUGUAACCGAGAGGUGCGUGGUUCGAUUCCACGCGAAGACG
rfam:Stegodyphus mimosarum contig71510, whole genome shotgun sequence.